rnacentral:rRNA from 1 species
AGAAUCAACGCUGGCGGCGUGCCUAACACAUGCAAGUCGAUCGAGAAAGUGGAGCAAUCCAUGAGUAAAGAGGCGCACGGGUGAGUAACACGUGACUAACCUACCCUCGAGUGGGGAAUAACCUGGGGAAACCCGGCUAAUACCGCAUAAUACCCACGGGUCAAAGGAGCAAUUCGCUUGAGGAGGGGUCGCGGCAGAUUAGUUAGUUGGCGGGUAAUGGCCCACCAAGACGAUGAUCUGUAUCC